CAAAUCAAGAAGAAGAUGUUUCAGCCAUGUGGACCUGGAACGCUCAUGCACACUUGAAGAGCGUUGACGGUGCGAUGAUGUGCCCCCACACUGGUUGAGACACCCCAAAAGGCUUUGUAUGCCUGACUGGAAGAUGUCAACCGGCAAAGUCCAGGGUGAGAUGGAUCUCGUCUCGGCUGACUGCGGGCAAAAGGCAGACUACAAAAGGAAGUUUAACUCUUUUUGUUUUUGUGUCCAAAAAUACUUUCUUAAGUCAGGGCACGCGUGGACAUAAGAGAGAGAUGCUGACAUGAAAAAUCACAGUGUAAACACGGCCAUAAUAGUGAGCUCUCAUCGGCACAUAUGGGAGGAAGAAGUAAGAGGAAGAAGGAGGCGCACCGAGUGAUGUAGCUGCCAGCACUGGCUCACUCCGGUUUGUGCUGCUUCUCACUGGCUUGAGGGUGCGAGUUUAGCAAGAGGCUAUAAAGACUUAGGGCCCGAAUGUCCUGUAAAGUUUUCACAACCCUGGCGGGUGCAUGAGUGCCAUCAUGGCUGUCAGCAUCCACGGGAGCACGGCCAGAUGCCCAACGGUCACGUGAACAUCUGCGCAGCAUAGGCAGCGCUACUACUGUACUUCUAAUUUCCCAUUGGCUGAGGCGUUCACUGACAAUUUGACUUAACCGGGUUAAAAUAGCAAAUGGCAUUGGGGUGUUUGGCCAUGUCGUUCACCAGAAAUCCCCUGCAGCCCCUCCUGGGCAAACAAGAUGAAAACAUAUCCCUUCAACAUUUUGUGGUUGUACGACAGGACUCGUACCGAUGAAACAUACCCAGAGACUUCCCUAAUGGAGCUUGCUUGGUGGGCACCUGAUCCCUCUGGAUUUAAGGGCGCUGGAACCCUCCCUCCGGGUGUCUCAGGCUGACGACUUUGGAGAAUCAAGCUGUCCUCUUUAAACGUUUCAUUAUCUUACUCAAGUGCCAAAGUCCUCAACUAAGUUUGAGCAUCUAGAAAUACUCCCCAAAUUUGAAAUGCCAUCAGUGACAUCAAAUUGGAAAGUGCUCCUAACGCAACCAAAUGUUAACGUUCUCGUCAGGGAUGACCACGAACUGACAUGGUGACUAUUAAUCAGCAAUUGUUGUGAUCAGAAACCAGAUCAGAUCCUUUGUGGCACAGAUUGAGUGAAGCCCUGCUUACCGAGUUUGUUGGCUUGGUUUGGUUUCUGUGGGAACACUUCAAACCUGUCUGGUUCCUACGUUAAUGCCUUCCCAGACGUGUAGUUUUCCUCUUUCAGCCCAUCCACACGAGCUAGGUCGGGUCCACAUGAGACCACAAGGAUUUUGUGCUCUGGCAGGCUUGGGCCUCACACCAACACUCCGACAUGCAGCUAUGUGGAGAUGAGCCCAACUACAUCUAAUUUAGCACCCUAUGACCGGUGCACCUUUGUGGCUCGUAGAUAUCUUGCUGAUGGAAAACGUGACGCAGAUAUUCAAGCCGUGGAAAAUCAGGCCGAUUAUUUACAGAAGCUUUUCCAAGAGCAAAAACUGUAUGCACUCAUUGCCGUGCUCUGGCUCCUAAGGUAUUGCUGUUACACAUCCUUUUACGUUGAUUUUUCUAUCUUGCUUAUCCUAUUGGAGUUGUGUAACGUAUCCCAGCUAGGACAACAGACGAAGGGGACACCAUGGCUUCAUUUUUCUGCCCCAAAAGGAUCACCAGUGCUAAUGCACUGGACGGAUGGGGCCUUUAAAUGAUGUUCUUCGGAAAGGUGUUCUUAAGGCCAGUGGUCUUCAAACAAAGAGGAACACACUCGAGGCAUGUGCACAGAUAAACCGCAAGUGGUGCUCCAGCAAAAGUUCCCUACCUGCUGCAAUAUUUUUUUCUUCAUUCAUUAAAAAAAUAAAUACAGAAAAAUGACCAUCUAUGUCAAUUUUCAUAUAUUUGAUGGGCAUUUAACUCUUUAUUUUUGUUACUCUUUUUGUUCUGUGCUGCACGUUUUGUUUAAAUAAUCUCGAGGGGCAAAAAAAAAAAAAAAAAUCUGCAAGGAGGUCAGACUUUGAUUACGAAUGGUUUUGUUCAAUUCACAUUUGUAGCAUUUUACCAAAUAUGAUUGGCUGUGGUUACUUCUCUAUUUGUGUGUGUGUGUGUGUGUACUGCCGCUGUAGUAUUUUUGUAUUUGUCUCGUGAUAAUUUCUCCCCAAUAUCUGUGUCUCCAAUGUUCUUAAAUUGAAAUGAAGAUUAUGACUAGGGGGCACGGUGGAUCAGAUGGUAAACCGUUGGCCUCACAGUUCUGAGGUCCCAGGUUAAAUCCCGGACUCGCCUGUCUGGAGUUUGCAUGGUCUACCCGUGCCUGCGUGGGUUUUCUCCGGGCACUCUGGUUUCCUCCCACAUCCCAAAAACAUUCAACAUUAAUUGGACACUCUAAAUUGCCCCGAGGUGUGAUAGUGAGUGUGAUUGUUGUCUGUCUCCAUGUGCCCUGCGAUUGGGUGGCAACCAGUUCAGGGUGUACCUAACUUCCUCCCUGAUGACAGUUGGGAUAGGCUCUAGCACUUCCCGUGAUCCUCGUGAGGAUAAAUGGCAGAGAAAAUGGAUUGAUUGAUGGAUUGUGUUAACAGAAAUCAAUAAAUACUCAUCGUUUUGUCUUAA